AUUGAACGCUGGCGGCAGGCCUAACACAUGCAAGUCGAGCGAGCGGAGGACGGGUGAGUAAUGUAUGGGGACUGCCCGAUAGAGGGGGAUAACUACUGGAAACGGUGGCUAAUACCGCAUACUAUCGGAUAACCCAUAUGGGAUUAGCUAGUAGGUGGGGUAAAGGCUCACCUAGGCGACGAUCUCUAGCUGGUCUGAGAGGAUGAUCAUCCACACUGGGACGUAGACACGGCCCAGACGUCUACGGAGGCAGCAGUGGGGUAUAGUGCACAAUGGGCGAAAGCCUGAUGCAUCCAUGCCGCUUGGAUGAAGAAGGCCUGAGGGUUGUAAAGUACUGUCAGCGGGGAGGCGUUACCCGCAGAAGAAGCACCGGCUAAUUCCGUGCCAGCAGCCGCGGUAAUUC
rnacentral:rRNA from 1 species